CGGAUGCCUGGUGACGCGAUCUGCCCG
rnacentral:piRNA from 1 species